rnacentral:rRNA from 1 species
ACGCUUCUUUUUCCACCGGAGCUUGCUCCACCGGAAAAAGAGGAGUGGCGAACGGGUGAGUAACACGUGGGUAACCUGCCCAUCAGAAGGGGAUAACACUUGGAAACAGGUGCUAAUACCGUAUAACAAUCGAAACCGCAUGGUUUUGAUUUGAAAGGCGCUUUCGGGUGUCGCUGAUGGAUGGACCCGCGGUGCAUUAGCUAGUUGGUGAGGUAACGGCUCACCAAGGCCACGAUGCAUAGCCGACCUGAGAGGGUGAUCGGCCACAUUGGGACUGAGACACGGCCCAAACUCCUACGGGAGGCAGCAGUAGGGAAUCUUCGGCAAUGGACGAAAGUCUGACCGAGCAACGCCGCGUGAGUGAAGAAGGUUUUCGGAUCGUAAAACUCUGUUGUUAGAGAAGAACAAGGAUGAGAGUAACUGUUCAUCCCUUGACGGUAUCUAACCAGAAAGCCACGGCUAACUACGUGCCAGCAGCCGCGGUAAUACGUAGGUGGCAAGCGUUGUCCGGAUUUAUUGGGCGUAAAGCGAGCGCAGGCGGUUUCUUAAGUCUGAUGUGAAAGCCCCCGGCUCAACCGGGGAGGGUCAUUGGAAACUGGGAGACUUGAGUGCAGAAGAGGAGAGUGGAAUUCCAUGUGUAGCGGUGAAAUGCGUAGAUAUAUGGAGGAACACCAGUGGCGAAGGCGGCUCUCUGGUCUGUAACUGACGCUGAGGCUCGAAAGCGUGGGGAGCAAACAGGAUUAGAUACCCUGGUAGUCCACGCCGUAAACGAUGA